ACAGAUACACACUAACAACGUUCCAUGGCCCGCCUAAGGGAAUGGUCAGGAGAUUUCCAAUAUUUUUACAUGAAUGAUUCCGAACACAAAACACCCACAAAUUUUUCAACAUUCCUGUGUCUGAAGAGAAUUUCUAAACCAUCUUUGUUCUUCCACGCGAGGCACAAUGUCAUUUCCGUGGCCAUGUUUACAUUACAUUUUCCUUACCACGCUGCUCCACGUCACCUACUUCCCUUAACCCAACACAACCCUAGGCAGGAAAAAAAUUGAAGUCCCAUAGUACACCUUCAAAAAAUCAAUCUUCAUGUUGAUGGACGUGAAGCUAUGCAUGUAUUUUAAUAUAUAUUGAACACGAAUAUUGAAUUUCCGGUCAUUUAUGGUAAGCUCCAGUAGUUCUUCCUGUAUUCUUUCUCUGGUCUGAGUGGCGACGCGGGAGGAAGCGAACAGCAUCACAGUCGGAAGUAAUCGUCGCCAUCCGCAGGCAGGGAAAACCACGACCCAGCGCUCGGCGGCAGGCAGACGGACACUCGCUGCCCCCUUCUCUCCCUCCAGGGUCUAAAUAUAGCUGGGCAGGGUAGUGAGGUUUGUCCGAUUGCCCUGCCGCUGCUCACUGGCCCGUGGUUUUGUGAGGGAUGGAGGGAGUUUGUGAGUUUUGCUUCCCUUUGCACCGGUGAGGGAGCCGAGCUGGCCGGCGGCAGGCUUGUGGUGCGAUGCUAAUGUGCGUGAGUGAUGUUUGGGUUGAUUUUUAAGUUUAAGUUUAGGAUAUUUACGUGUGCUGAGUGGGUGCUGAGGGCAGGAAUGUUGUGUUUGUUUGGUUCGCCUCUCAUCCGGCUACUGACAGCUACUACUACGUCCCUUGUGUACUGAAGGCAGGGAGCGAUCUCGUGUUGACGGCCACCUCUUCUUAUUCUAUCACUUUUAACCCCUUCAGUACCAUGACGCGUUCUCAUAUUCAUUCUGCUUACUAUUUCAUGAUUUUAUACAGCUUCAGAAACUUGUGUGGGGGAUUAAAAUAGUGAAGACUCUGACCAUUAAUCUUCUGACCUCCAUAGACCCUUACUAAUGUCAAUAAAUUGGUAUAUUCGUGCAGGAAUACCUAGGUAAAAAUGUGUCCCAGUAUUGAACGGGUUAAAUAUAUUGAGUUGUGCUGAGGGCAGGAAUCUUGUCUCCACGGGCUUUUCUUUUUAUUCUAUGGCUUUUCGAUAUGCUGAUGGCAAGUUGUUAUUACCUGGACAUCCUGGUUUUGCAGCAUGUCUUUUUUUCUAAUAUGCGUCCUUUGUGUUCUACAGGUGCAGCGGCAUUGAGAGGCUGUAAGGGGUGCAGAGGGCGCUCCGCUCAUCACAUCAAGCAGGAAGUGGCGACGAAAUCGGUGAAAAAUACCCCGUGUCUUGUGUUUUGAGGUGACGGCACUGGUAUAACUAGUGAGGGAGAAGAACGCACGUCCUUCAGCUAACAAAGACUCCUCCCGCAAGCCACCCAGCACUGGUGUCCCCUCCGCCCCGUCGCCCCGCUGCCCCACCUCCCCAUCACUCGUAAACAAAAACAUCGUCCAUAACUGACUCCCGGUUCCCAGCCCCUCCGAGCCACCUGGCACCCCCCACCCUCGCUCUCCGCUGUCUGGGGUGAGCUUGGGGUCCUGCCGGAAGUAUGGCGUCCAGAUUCUAGUAUCCUGCGAGUAGGACGUGGGAUACGUACACAGAACCUCUCCUGUUGCUCCCUCCCUCUCACUCCUAUGCCUCGCUUGGAGAUCCCUUCAUGGCAUACGCCGCUCACCAUCACCACCACCACCACCACCACCACCACCACCACCACCAUGACGCCGAAGACAAGACUGAACUUUGGCGCCACAUCUGCCGAGCCUCAAGCGCCUCCCGUUCCACUCCGCUACCUCGCCGUGACUCCAGAGUCAAGAUGUAUUAGACUAAGAGGUGAACGCACUUCGGCAUUAUUGGAACCGCUGACGUCACCAUGUGUAUUGUUUACGUCUGGUGUUGUGGUGGUGUGUUCACGUGUGGCAGAUUUUAUCAGCAAUUGUGUACUUUUCACGGGCUUUGUAUUACGAUAUUAAUAGUUAAAUGGGUAAAGCAAGAGUGUGCGCUGUAUUUGGAUGUACACCUGGUAAGGACAGCAACCUAAGAUACCAUAAAUUCCCAUCUAAUGAUAACCUUGCUAGACAGUGGAUCCAUAAGUGUUUCCGUUCAGACCAUAUUAAUAUUAAGUAUGCUGUGGUUUGUGAACGACAUUUUAGUUCAGCCCAGAUUGAACGAAAUCUGAAGUACGAGCUUUUAAAUUUGCCAGUUCCACGAACUGUGAGAAAUUUAAAAC